CAAUUAUAAGGCAUGCGUUUACUAAAUUUCAAAGAUAAUGAAAAUAAUACAUUGGAAGAAUAAAACCACAAAUUUGUAGGUUAUCAAAGUUCAUGUGAAGAACAUUUUUCUUCAAUGACCAAUUGGUAACCCUGUUUAGAGCUAUCAAUAUAUAUGGGAACGCAGAACCCAAUGACAAUCAGUGCAUGAACCAACUGAAGACACAAUACUCUAAUCAUGCAGCA
rnacentral:lncRNA from 1 species